ensembl:lncRNA LINC00343 long intergenic non-protein coding RNA 343
GGCUAUGGGAAAGAAACCUGGAAAGGUAGGGAGGUAUGGAUAUGGACAAGCUAUGCCAAGGAGCAGGGCUUUGUCAUGGAGAGUGACUAGGUGCUUUUACAUAGGAAAGUCACCUGAUAAUAUUAAAACCUGUGAAAUAUCACUCUGGUGGAAGUGUGAAUGAAUUUGAAAGGGGUGUAACACUGUUCUACUUUGUUUACUCCUCAGUACCCUUGGCUGUGUACAUUUGAGUAAAGAGAGCACUAUAAAAUCAAAAACCAAUGAAAUGGUUUCCAGAACACAGAACUAUUAAGCUUAAGAAAAGGACAGAAGGAACUGAAGAGAGAGGAACUGUUUUGGAGCAUCACACUUCCACCUCAGAAGAAAUAAGGAAGGAAGGAGGAGGGUGUUCCCACGGCUCUUCAACCAGGCCGGCUCUUCAGCCUACAUCCCCAUCUCAUCAAGUAAAAGGGAUUUUUCAACUGGACCAACCAGAUGGUUUAACAGUGCACUCCCACACCAUUCAACUACGCAAGGGAGAUACACUUAACAUAUGCAGUCGUAUAACACCUACUAACAUUUUCAAACAUUAAACCUUUAAAAAAGAGUUCUAAAGAAAUAGAAGCUUGAAGUAUCAUCUCUCAAGUAUAUAGACACUACUUCAUGGUGUGGUAAUAUAUGCAUAUAGAAGCUAGUAAACACCUCCAGGAGAUGCAAAAGGAAUUAGAACUGCCACAAGGUGCAAGCAAAACCUUGAGGUAAUCAAUCUGCAUCCCAUUUUGGAUGAGAAUAUUUGCAACUUUGAAGGUUAUUUUAAGGACAGCAGCAGAAGAAUUAUGGCAGCUCUUCACGGAAAAAAAAAUGGCAACAAUAAAAUCAGCAACUCCUGCCAAAUAAAUGGGCAUAAAAAAGAAAUCAUAGACUGCUGGCAAUGGUGGGGAAAAAGUUAUAAAAAUUGUCUCUGCACCAUCUUCCUUUUGUCCUCUAAAAUAUUCACAUUAGCAAAAGUAUAUAACAGCUGAUGAAGAAAUACUGAUAAUUUGUCUUUGUAAGUAUAUCGAAAACAUUUCAAGAUCUAGAAAUUUGAAAUUGUUGACAAGUAUUUAUCUGUUUAUUCACAAAUUUGAAAUCAACCUCAGGAAUGCUCAUUCUGAUUGAUAUACUUAGGUCAUAAAUUUUUAAGACCACAGAUUUCCAGGGACUUUUUGGAAAAUCACCCAGUAAAACAAUGUCUUUUUGCAGGGGACUAGCUUCAGUAUUUUGGCUUCUUUUUGCUUCUUUGCAACAAAUUGGGAGACAAAGGUGGGAAAGUUUUUUUCAAUAAGUUAAUAAUUUUUUAAAGGUCAAAAUUUUGUUCUUUGCUUAUAUUAGAAUUAAACACUGUGAGAUUCUCUCU